rnacentral:rRNA from 1 species
UACGGGGGGUGCGAGCGUUGUCCGGAAUCACUGGGCGUAAAGGGCGCGUAGGCGGCCUGAUAAGUAGGGGGUGAAAUCCUGCGGCUUAACCGCAGGGCUGCCUUCUAAACUGUCAGGCUAGAGCACAGUAGAGGCAGGUGGAAUUCCCGGUGUAGCGGUGGAAUGCGUAGAGAUCGGGAAGAACAUCAGUGGCGAAGGCGACUUCCUGGCCUGUUCUUGACGCUGAGGCGCGAAAGCUAGGGGAGCAAACGGG